rnacentral:rRNA from 1 species
UCUGGUCCUUGUGUGCCAGCCGCCGCGGUCCUCCGUCUGGCGCCCGCGUUCUCCGGCUUUCCUGGGUGUCCCGGGCGUGUCGGUGGCCAUGCAAGUCAGAAGUGAAAAUCCGGGGCUCAACCCCGGAACUGCUUUUGAAACUGUAAGGCUGGAGUGCAGGAGGGGUGAGUGGAAUUCCUAGUGUAGCGGUGAAAUGCGUAGAUAUUAGGAGGAACACCAGUGGCGAAGGCGGCUCACUGGACUGUAACUGACACUGAGGCUCGAAAGCGUGGGGAGCAAACAGG